AGAGUUUGAUCAUGGCUCAGGAUGAACGCUGGCGGCAUGCCUAAGACAUGCAAGUCGAACGAAGUGGCCCAAUGAAGUUUGCGUGCUUACACAAAAAUGGAUUUGGAUUCCCACUUAGUGGCGCAAGGGUGAGUAACACGUGGGUUAUCUACCCUCGAGACUGGAAUAACAGUUAGAAAUGAUUGCUAAUGCCGG
rnacentral:rRNA from 1 species